CAUGCAGCCUGAGGGGAUACCUUGGCAGAUACUUGAUCUGUCAGGAUGUUCAUGGGAGCAUCCCAUGGACACCAGAGCUCCCCACCCCAGCAGACAUGGUCCUGGUACUUCUCCAUCUUCCUUGGAGAAAGCAUCAAAAUCAAGCCCUUAGCCUAACUCCUGGCCCCUAGGAGCAGCAAAGCAGGUGUCAGCAGCUCUUGCUGAGGAGAGGAGGCUGCUGGCAGCUGGGACACGAGUCAUCCAAGGAAAUGUAUCACCCGCCUCCAGUGAAAACCAUCCCAAAAGAAUUGCAAGCCACUUCUGAAGAGAUACUAGCAGUCUUACAACUCCGGCUUUCCCAGACGACAUACAGGGACCGAGGUCCUCAGCCUAUUAACUUUGUGCAUUCAGGGGGGUCAGGGGAAUACCUUUUUUAAAAAAAAAUAUGACCGGGGGAAAUGACCUGAAGAUCAUUUUUCCCUGAAGCCUCCUGAGGAACAUCAAGAUUUUCAUGAGAGAAGCAGAGGCAUCUUGGCUCCCUACCAGGAGGGCUGUGGUUUGAGUGCUCAGUGCAAGGUGUGGGGAACCUCCCUUCAAUGCUGUGUUCUGGCCCAGACUGAUCAGGCUCAAUGUUACCCAACAGGUAAGUGUCCAAAUCAUUUGGUUUGGGGUGAAAAUUCCAUCCUCUGCUGACAAACAGCAUUGCUCAAACUAAUGAAUUUCUACAAAAACAAAACAAACAAAAACUUUAUUUCAACCAACUGGCAUUUUAUCAAGGAAUCCCCGACCUGCUUGGAUUUUUUCCACUUGAAAGCAUGUGCCAAAAGCUGGAAUAGCUCCUCAUCUGAACAAUAAUAUUGCAAAAGCUGUAAAAAGCAAGGCCUGAGCCAAUAGACUGAAUAAAAUAGAUAGGCUCUAUUAAAAUAGAUGUAUUUCUUUGUACCAGGUCUUAGAAUAAGUCUAACACAAACAGAAACAGAGGCUUGAGCAUGCCAAUGUGUCAGAGUGGUGGCUUUCCACACGAGAGGACAACCCAACAUUUUGGGAUUUAGAAUGACUUCAAAACUUAUCUUCCUGACAUUUGUUUGUUGGCUGAUUUAUUGCACUGAAGUGUCAGCCUGACUUCUUGCCGUUAGUAACAGCAUCAUCAAUAUCUGGGCUUUCACAUCAUCCGCGUGGCUGGUGCAUCUAUUCUUGAAGUGCCUUCCUGCUUAGUAGAGAAUGUAAAGAGCUGUGUCUAACACAGGAGGAAAACUAUUGGUAGAAAGCAAAAAAAAAAAAAAAAAGUGUUUUUGCUGUUUUCUGUUUUUGUUUGUUUGUUUUGUUUUGUUUGUUUGUUUUCGUAUGCAACUGUGAUUAUUGCAAUAACAUAAAUAUGAAUGUGAAUGCAAACAUGAAACUGACAGAAAAAUGGAAGAUGAGCUUGACCGUUUGUUGCAAGUAGCCUCCCUGGCCUGCACUGGGUAUAAUGGGUGUUACUGGUGUGCCUGUCCUGUAGGGCAGCAUGCAGAGAAGCCAUGUCUGGGUGAUGUCUGAGUCCAGCAACAGCCACUGCCGCCUUGGGAGGAGAAAGAAGUAGACAAAAGAGUCGACACUGCAGUGUCUGACAUCUGGAAGUGUGUCCCACUGGGCUCAGUAUCAGAGGCCUUGGCAAGUUGCACGUCACCCUCACGUGAUGGCCAAAGCAACCUGCCACUGUUAUCAGAACCAGGUGCCAUGGGGCGCUCAGGUCAGUGCUGCUGCUGGUCACUCGUGCCAGCAUUACAAGAAGUGACGUUUCUGGGAGCUCUAUGGGAAAGAGACUCCUGAAGCUUAAGGUUGAGCUCCCUCCCCUCAAAGGAAGUGCCAUCCACUUAGUAGGCACCAAGUCUUUUGCCUCAAUGAAGGGAACAGAGCUCAAAAAUUUGAAGGAAGACAUGGUCAUGGCACUGCUCGCAAGAGAUAUAACUAGGAGAAACUGGGUGAUCACGUUAGAAAAAGUAAAACUUCUGAAUGUGUAUCAUCAUCCGGCUAAUUCCUGUCUCUCCCUCUGCUGCCUCCUCUGCUGACGCUCCAGUCCCCACUUCAAUACCUGCCAGGUCCUUUUAGAGAGCUGACAUUUCCAUUCCUGACAUUUUCUGCAGCUCCAUCUGGGAAUUAAUGGCCGGAUAUUAGCAGCGAUGGGACCGUUUAUCAUAAUUAGUCUCAUGAAGCUACUAAGCAUCCAACUAUUUUUCAUCAGCACCGAGGAAAUAAACUGCAGAAUCCAGUAGACGAGACGGACGAUUUAUUUAUUGAUUGAUUUAUUUUGGUCUGUCAGGAUGCGGCUUUAAAGUUUGCCGAGAUGAGCAAUGCUUCUCAGAGGCAAUGACGACAGUAAGGCUGCUUGCCUUGGGUGCACAAGCUGCAGAAAAAAAGCCCUGAACCCCCCUGAGACAGCGAGGAGGCAUUUGGGAGCCUGCAUCUGCGCUAACCUCCUGCUGGUAUAAAACGACAAGGAAAAGCCCAAGAAGAAACAGCCACCAGCCACAUGGUGGCAUCAUGAAUGAAAGCCAUCUAAAGGUGUGUAAAAAAUAAAUAAAUAAAUAAGGGGGAGAUAAUGGGGAAAAACCCACGGGGAAAGCAAAUGAUGCAGGGUUCCGGUUCCAUUGACCCUACAAGAGGUGUAACACAGACCAGCAGCAGCUUCAGGGCUGUCAUUCAGCUGGGUGUGCCACAUAGUCCUUGGACCUUAAUGUGAAAAGGAGGAUGCUGCAGACAGCACGCAUAUCUCUGUGACCUCCCAGAGGUGCCUGGGAAUGGAUGAAGAUGUUUUCUUAUUUGGCAGCCCAGUGCCUCAUUUUUUACCUUCUCCAAAGGAUCAUCAGUGGAUCCUUCUCCAAAGGAUCAUCAGGCAGUGAGGCAAAAUCUCAUACACAAGAG